rnacentral:rRNA from 1 species
UACGUAGGGUGCAAGCGUUAAUCGGAAUUACUGGGCGUAAAGCGUGCGCAGGCGGUGAUGUAAGACAGGUGUGAAAUCCCCGGGCUUAACCUGGGAACUGCAUUUGUGACUGCAUCGCUGGAGUGCGGCAGAGGGGGAUGGAAUUCCGCGUGUAGCAGUGAAAUGCGUAGAUAUGCGGAGGAACACCGAUGGCGAAGGCAAUCCCCUGGGCCUGCACUGACGCUCAUGCACGAAAGCGUG